rnacentral:rRNA from 1 species
UAGCGGCGGACGGGUGAGUAACGCGUGGGAACGUGCCCUUCUCUACGGAAUAGCCCCGGGAAACUGGGAGUAAUACCGUAUACGCCCUUUGGGGGAAAGAUUUAUCGGAGAAGGAUCGGCCCGCGUUGGAUUAGGUAGUUGGUGGGGUAAUGGCCCACCAAGCCGACGAUCCAUAGCUGGUUUGAGAGGAUGAUCAGCCACACUGGGACUGAGACACGGCCCAGACUCCUACGGGAGGCAGCAGUGGGGAAUCUUAGACAAUGGGGGCAACCCUGAUCUAGCCAUGCCGCGUGAGUGAUGAAGGCCUUAGGGUUGUAAAGCUCUUUCAGCUGGGAAGAUAAUGACGGUACCAGCAGAAGAAGCCCCGGCUAACUCCGUGCCAGCAGCCGCGGUAAUACGGAGGGGGCUAGCGUUGUUCGGAAUUACUGGGCGUAAAGCGCACGUAGGCGGACUGGAAAGUCAGAGGUGAAAUCCCAGGGCUCAACCUUGGAACUGCCUUUGAAACUAUCAGUCUGGAGUUCGAGAGAGGUGAGUGGAAUUCCGAGUGUAGAGGUGAAAUUCGUAGAUAUUCGGAGGAACACCAGUGGCGAAGGCGGCUC